GUAGGUGAACCUGCGGAAGGAUCAUUAACACAAAAGUCACAGUUGUGUGUUGUGGUUUGUCUCACCUGGCUCUCACGGGCAAGGCAGGCAGACCGCGGCCCAACAUGUCACUUUUUAACCCCCCUUUUGUGCACACUUGUUGUUGGCUAUGUGUGUGGUUUUUUUGUUUCAUGACACAAAACACAUACAUAGCUCGUUAUCCCGGACAGAAAGAGGCACGUUAUGUGUUUCUCUCUGUCUGUUGGUUUCCACCUCAAUCUAUUGACCCCUUGAACUGUCUUGGACUGAACAUCUGAGAGCGGUUUAUAUGUAGGAGUUUUAACUAACUCUUGUGUAUAGCCCUCUCUGCCAUUAUAUCAAACGCUUGAACAACUCUUAGCAACGGAUAUCUUGGCUCUC
rnacentral:misc_RNA from 1 species